GAGGCGUGUGGGAGACAGGCCCACCCUGUGAUGAGGAAGGGAGACUCUGGAUUUCCCACGGAGCUGGCUGCUGCCUGUCAUCCGAGACCAUGUUCAGGAAACGCGACUUGGUUUUUUCACCACCUACUUCUUGCCCCUGGCUAACACCCUGAAGAGCAAAGCCAUGGACCUGGCUCAGGCAGGCAGCACAGUGGAAUCUAAGAUCUACGACACACUCCAGUGGCAGAUCUGGACACUCCUGCCUGGGUUCUGCACGAGGCCCACAGAUGUGGCCAUCUCCUUCAAAGGGCUGGCACGGACCCUGGGCACAGCCAUCAGCGAGCGUCCAGACUUGAGGGUCACCGUGUGCCAGGCCCUGCGCACCCUCAUCACCAAGGGCUGCCAGGCAGAGGCCGACCGUGCUGAAGUGAGUCGCUUUGCCAAGAACUUUCUGCCGAUCCUCUUCAACCUGUAUGGGCAGCCCGUGGCAGCCGGGGACACUCCAGCCCCUCGCCGGGCUGUGCUGGAAACCAUCAGAACUUACCUCACC
rnacentral:sRNA from 1 species